rnacentral:rRNA from 1 species
AUUGAACGCUGGCGGCAGGUCUAACACAUGCAAGUCGAGCGGAUGAAGGGAGCUUGCUCCUGGAUUCAGCGGCGGACGGGUGAGUAAUGCCUAGGAAUCUGCCUGGUAGUGGGGGAUAACGUCCGGAAACGGGCGCUAAUACCGCAUACGUCCUGAGGGAGAAAGUGGGGGAUCUUCGGACCUCACGCUAUCAAAUGAGCCCAGGUCGGAUUAGCUAGUUGGUGGGGUAAAGGCCUACCAAGGCGACGAUCCGUAACUGGUCUGAGAGGAUGAUCAGUCACACUGGAACUGAGACACGGUCCAGACUCCUACGGGAGGCAGCAGUGGGGAAUAUUGGACAAUGGGCGAAAGCCUGAUCCAGCCAUGCCGCGUGUGUGAAGAAGGUCUUCGGAUUGUAAAGCACUUUAAGUUGGGAGGAAGGGCAGUAAGUUAAUACCUUGCUGUUUUGACGUUACCAACAGAAUAAGCACCGGCUAACUUCGUG